UACGGAGGGUGCAAGCGUUAUCCGGAUUCACUGGGUUUAAAGGGUGCGUAGGUGGGCAGGUAAGUCAGUGGUGAAAUCUCCGAGCUUAACUCGGAAACUGCCGUUGAUACUAUUUGUCUUGAAUAUUGUGGAGGUAAGCGGAAUAUGUCAUGUAGCGGUGAAAUGACUUAGAUAUGACAUAGAACACCAAUUGCGAAGGCAGCUUACUACACAACUAUUGACGCUGAGGCACGAAAGCGUGGGGAUCAAACAGG
rnacentral:rRNA from 1 species